CCAGACUCCUACGGGAGGCAGCAGUGGGGAAUAUUGGACAAUGGGGGGAACCCUGAUCCAGCCAUGCCGCGUGUGUGAAGAAGGCCUUUUGGUUGUAAAGCACUUUAAGCGAGGAGGAGGCUACCUAGAUUAAUACUUUAGGAUAGUGGACGUUACUCGCAGAAUAAGCACCGGCUAACUCUGUGCCAGCAGCCGCGGUAAUACAGAGGGUGCGAGCGUUAAUCGGAUUUACUGGGCGUAAAGCGUGCGUAGGCGGCCAAUUAAGUCAAAUGUGAAAUCCCCGAGCUUAACUUGGGAAUUGCAUUCGAUACUGGUUGGCUAGAGUAUGGGAGAGGAUGGUAGAAUUCCAGGUGUAGCGGUGAAAUGCGUAGAGAUCUGGAGGAAUACCGAUGGCGAAGGCAGCCAUCUGGCCUAAUACUGACGCUGAGGUACGAAAGCAUGGGGAGCAAACAGGAUUAGAUACCCUGGUAGUCCAUGCCGUAAACGAUGUCUACUAGCCGUUGGGGCCCUUGAGGCUUUAGUGGCGCAGCUAACGCGAUAAGUAGACCGCCUGGGGAGUACGGUCGCAAGACUAAAACUCAAAUGAAUUGACGGGGGCCCGCACAAG
rnacentral:rRNA from 1 species